UGGAAAUUUCAUUUACGAUAAUAUUUUUGUGCAAAAAUUUUAGUUUUGUUCGCCAAACACUUCAAAAAAAAAACUUUAUCACCAAAACACUUAGCCAAAAAAAAAAAUUCUUUCUCCUCCCCUCCAAACCAAAUGUAUCGGUCAAACCCAUAUCGAAAGUUGAUCUCUUUCUGAAAAAAAAAAAGAUGAAACCCAAAUAAUCUUAUGUUCCUCUGCUCAUCUCGCUUUGGUCUUGAAUCAGUGAUGGGAGAUAAAGUCGACGACUUUGGUGUUUGCGUCGCCGGAAGCUCUGGAAUCCGGAGAUUGGGUUGAAUUCGGAGAAGAGUCGGAUAAAGAUCUAUCCAGAUUCAAUUGACUUCCUCAAAUUCUCAUUUUCGAUCUCUAAUCUCGAUUGAAGCUUCACCACCACACUCAGUUUGACACCGUAGCUCGUUACCACCAUCACCACCACCACCACCAUCUCACGUCAAAUUUUAAUGUGCUGCUCAGUUCGUCGCGAAUCUGGCCAAUAGUUAACCGACGCAGAAUCACUCUCUACCAAUUCUUCUCUCGUCAAUCGCAGCGAAGAAGAAGAAGAAAAGACCCUAAAUCGUAUUUAGGAGCUCCAUCAAUGGCGUUGAUGCUGGCUCGCAGGUGACUAAUUACUCUUUGUGCUCACCAUUGCGUAUGAAUCUCGUUUGCUCCUGUUUUUGGAAUCAAGGAUCACUCUCUGUCUCUUCGGGAUUGUGUCUGUAAUUGUAACUGUCCAUUUGAUGCUCAUUUGACAAGGCUCUAGAGAGUGUAGAUGAAACUCUCGUGUCUCGUGUCUCGACUAGUAGUAAGAGUGUGUGUAGCAGCUUGAGCAAUGGAGAUAAGCAUGUGCCUCGGGGAACGGUUGUUGUGUGAGCAAAAGGGCCAAGAGUAUGUUUUCAGACCACAUUGUGUUUGCGUUUGUAGGAUUUUAUGUCUGAGGAUGUUACCUUUUGUGGUGUAUUUGAUGGUCCUUUUGGUCAUCUUGUUGCUUGAGUGAGAUAUACAUUGCCUCUGAAGUUGGAGUCUUUCCUUCAUGUCUGAGAUACAUUGUAACAUUAACAAGAUGCUUGUGUAUGGAAAUGAAGAUGAUUUUGGAGACAGCAAUGAUGAUGAUGUUGAUCGAUGGCUUACCCAGACAAGAUUUUAAGAGUUGGCAAGAGUUAUGUUGGUAGUAUAAGACUUAAGUGUAAGACAGGAAAAGUUUCUACUUAAAAUAUAUGUUUUAUAAAUUUAUUGAUAAAUUUUUGUAAGGCAACUGUAAAAUGAAGAAGUAAACGAAAUGUUAAAACCAAAUAUUGUUUUUUAAA